AGCUUCUUCUUGAUCAUUUUCUUCUUCCAAGAUCUGCUUCAGGAAGGUGGCGGAUGUGUUGCCUGUCCCAUUAGGCCGGGAGGAAUUGCGUGGUCAGAAUGGAUCAAGUUCUGGAACCAUAAAACAAAGAAGUUUGGCUCCUUUUCUUCACUCUACUAGCCUGACAUUUUUUCUCAUCUCUUCGAACAUCAAGAGAAACCAGACCAUAGAGGAAAAUCUAUUGACAAGUCGACUUCCUUCUACAAACACAUAGGUGUAACAUUUGGAAAUCCCUUUAAAACGAUGGUUAUUAAGCGUAUGAUCAACAACAUAUCCUGGUUCUACUGGCAAUUCCAGCUGGUCACAAUGACCUAUCUCAUGGAUUCAUUUGAAUGGUGGGUCUUCCAUGGUUUUCUCCUUAUUACUUCUAUGUUAUUGGCAUACAUUUUUUAUGCCGUUCUGGGACAUGUCCGCCAUCUUUUUGAUUUGCAACCUGAAAAUACAAUUUCAGCCAUGAUGUGAACUUUUCAUCUGUAACAUAGAAUGGACUUUUCUUCUCCUUACAUGUUUUGCAUGUUAUUUAAGCAUUGGGUGUACAAGUAGAGACUCUGGAGUCUGUAGAAGUACAUCAAAGCUUUUUAAAAAGUCUUAACGAUACCACCAUGAUUAUUUCCUUAUCUUCUUAUGCCACUUAUUGACCGUCUCUAUGUGUUCAAAAAAUAAAAGGUGAACAUCUUUUCUUUUCCAGAUGAUGUUAUUCCCUUCAAGUUCUUGUUCUGUAAAAGAUUCCCUAGGAUGCUCACUUGUUAUCAAAAUUGCUAUUGAAAUUUUAUUUCAGUUCAUUAUGUAGGCGUUUUCUAUGAUAGUCUUGAGAAAAGUGGAUAAAAAUGGGGAAUAAAGGCAGAAAGAAUAAAGAGGAUUUACUUAUUUUCUUGUAGAGGAUCUAGGAAUUUACUGUGGAAUUUAGUGCUACAUCAGGGACUGAAUUCAUAUUUAGGCUAUGCCCUAUACAUGCUUAUUUGGAAGAUAACCUCACUAAAUUUGGUGUUACUUAUGGUCAGAGUAAGUUUGCAUAGAAUGGGAUACUUAUUUACAUUUUGUUGUACAGUAUAUCACUAUCGGUAGAACAUCAUGCCCACCUGUGUGAAAUUUAUAUAGAGAAAUCAGAGACACAAUCUAUAUCCCUGAAAGUUUGCCUGUGUUUUCUUUAGUUGGUAACUUUGCUGUAGUGUAGUAAUUUGGCAUUAAAUGUAUUUCUAAGA